CCUCGUCACUAGGGUCGCCCUCCUCGCCGAUCUCCUCUGCAUCGUCAGUGUCGUCUCUCUCUCUGCUCCCAACGCUAACUGCAAUGGCUGACGACGAACCCGUUGAUCAAAAGAGAUAUCUCGAAGACUCUUGCAAACCAAAGUGUGU